AGGACGAACGCUGGCGGCGUGCUUAACACAUGCAAGUCGAGCGGAAAGGCCCUUCGGGGUACUCGAGCGGCGAACGGGUGAGUAACACGUGAGUAACCUGCCCCUAGCUCUGGGAUAGCUCCGGGAAACCGGGAUUAAAUACCAGAUACGACCACUUUAGACAUCUGUCGUGGUGGAAAGGAUUCCGGCUAGGGAUGGGCUCGCGGCCUAUCAGCUUGUUGGUGGGGUAACGGCCUACCAAGGCGACGAC
rnacentral:rRNA from 1 species